rnacentral:rRNA from 1 species
GACGAACGCUGGCGGCGUGCUUAACACAUGCAAGUCGAACGGAAAGGCACUGCGUGUGUGCGGUGCUCGAGGGGCGAACGGGGGAGGAACACGUAUGUAACCUGCCCUUGUCUUUGGGAGAACUUAAGGAAACGGGGGCUAAGACAGUAUAGGAUCUCCUGUUGCGGGGUGGGCGGGGGAAAGUUGCGGCGGUUGGGGCUGGACUCGCGGCUGAUGAGCUAGUUGGUUGGGUAGUGGCUUCCCAAGUCUUUGACGGGUAGCCGGCCGGAGAGGGUGGCCGGGCACAAUGCGCCUGCGGUACGGCCCAGACUGCAACGGUAGGCAGCAGUGGGGAGUCUUGCACAAUGAGCGCGCGUCGGAUGCGGCAGCCCCGCGGGCGUGAUGCCGGCUUUCGGGUUGUGAACCGCUUCCGCCUGUGACGAAGCGUGAGUGACGGUAAUGGGUAAAGAAGCACCGGCUAACUACGUG